AUAUUGGCGACACGCGGGCCACAAAUCCGUGUUUAGCCCAACCAGACCCACGAGACUCAAUUCAGAAUCUCCUCGCUUUCGCAAACCCUAACCCUAAACUCUAGAUUUGCUGCGAUAACGAUGGCCAGCGAUACCCCGGAUUCCAAACGCAAGCACCGAAGAUCCUCCGAUGAUGAUGCCGAUGACUCGUCCAAGCGCCGUAAGCACCGUCAUCACCACCACCAUCGCCGCCACCGUCAUAGCAGCCGGAAACACGAAGCUGAGGGGGAAGGAAAACAUGAAGCCGAAGGCGACGGAAAACACGCGGCCGAAGAUUUUGUGGCUCUUCCAUCACCACAGCCCGCUGCUACUGUCGUUGCUGUUGUAUCGGGUUCCAAUUGGAGACCCGAUUAUGAUAUGGAAGAAGGUGAGAUUGUCGAAGAAGAGGAGUUUGGGGCUGGCAGUGAUGCAAUUGAGAAGAAGAAAUCUGAUUCUGAUGUUGAGUCUGGCGAGAUUAAAGCACUGGAAGUUCGUGAUGUAUCUGAUGUUCAAAAUCUGGAUGGUCAUAUGGCAAAUGGUGAUCAACAAGAAUUUUGCGCAAUGGCUAAUAGUAGAGGGAAAGUUGCUAGAAAUUCGAAUACAUUGCAAGAGUAUACGAGCGAUGAUGAUUUGGUGACUGAUUCAGAUUUAGUAAAUGAGACAGGCAAAUCAGACUAUGAAGCUAAAAUUGGUAAUAAGAUCCAUGGUGAGGAUGGUUUGUCAAGGCAUUCAAGUGCCAAGCAUUACGAAGAAUUGUUUUCGAGUGGUAGUCCAGAUGGUGAGAUGAAUAGGGAUGCUCGCCAUGAAUCUCAUCGGAAGAACAAUUCGGGAUGUGAAUCUCCUGUAAAAGGAUAUGGCAAGACAGAGAGUUAUUAUGAGGUUGAUAAAAGUGAAUUACAAAACCAGAGAAAAUCGUUGUCAUCUGAAAGUGCAGGGGACAAAUACAAAAAGUUGGCACACUCACCAACUCAUGACCGAUAUCGAGAUAAGGUCCAUAUGAGGGGCAGAUCAAGGUCACAUGAUCAUGCUAGGGAGCGGUCUCGUUCCCAAAGCAUUUUGCAAGAUGUGGCCCUAUCUAACGCAACACACCAUCAAGAAUGGAAUGCCUCAAGUUAUGCUGGUAACAGAAGGACUGACAAUGAUACAGAUGAAGAAAUGGCUCUAAGAAGAAGGGAUUAUCGACAUCCUAGCCGAGAUUUGGUGAGGGAUGAGGAAAGAGAGCGUAGUAGUAGUCAUAGCAGACAAACUCAGAGAGGGGACAAACAUCAAAGUCGGGAGACAUGGGACAUGGCUAAGGCAGGAAGGGAGAUGGACUGGGAAAGGCAAAGGGAGAGAGAGCAAGACAGAAGUAGGGAGAGGGAGAGGGAGAGGGAGAGGAACCGGGAAAGGGAUAGAAAAAGGGAGAAGGAACGGGAUAGGAGCAUGGACAGGGAGAUGGAUAGGAAUAGGAAAAGGGAGAAGGAUAUGGGCACAGACAGGGACAUGGACAGGGGUAGGAAACAGGAGAGAGAAAGAGAUAGGAGCUGGGACAGGGACAGGGCAAGGGAGAGAGAUAGAAAUAGAAAUAGGGACAUAGACAGGGAGAACGACAGGGAUAGGGCCAGGGACAGGAAAUCAGAGAGGGGGAGUGGAAGGGACAGAAGUAGGGAUAAAGUUAGGGAUUCCGAGAGUGAUAGAGUUAGCAGGCACCAUAAAUACGAAACUCUUAAUGAUGGUUAUGGAAAUCGAGAUAGGUAUGGUGAUUCCUGGUAUCUAAGACAUGAUGAGACAGAACAUCAGAGGCAUAGAACAAGGAAGAAUGAUGAAGAAAAAGGUCUCAGUUCUAAGAAUGAUUCUCUUGAAGGGAAUGGUGACAAACUGAAUAGAGAUGAAGAUGAGCAUGAAGACUACCAGGAAAGGGUUACAUUGCAACUAGCAGAAAAGGAAGAGGAAGAGUUUAACCGAAUUAAGGAGGAGAGUAGAAGGCGAAGACAAGCCAUCCUAGAAAAAUAUAAAAGUCAACACUCACAGCAACAACUUGCAUCUCAUACAGAGGAUACAGGGAAAGAUAAGGAAUCUGUGGAGCAGCCCAGUGAGACAAUAGUUGCUGAAACUAUGGUUCCAGAGGUUCCCGAUGGGAAGAAUGAUGGUACAGAUACCUAUGAUGCUGAUCCAUCAUUUUCUGUGGGGAAGUCACCUCCACAAAAUGGACUUUCUGCCUCUGAGAGGACAUCUGGUGCCGGGGGUCUGGGUGAGGGCACUCCAAAGAGUGAAAGACCAGAUGAUAUGUUCUGUGAUGAUAUUUUUGGAGAGUCACCAGCAGGAGUUCGUAAAUCGGGAAGAGGAGAUGGCUUACUAAUCGAAAGGAGUGGUCUUCAUGACAAUUGGGAUGAUGCAGAGGGAUACUAUAGUCAUCGGUUUGGAGAGAUACUUGAUGGUCGAUAUGAAAUUACUGCUGCCCAUGGAAAAGGUGUCUUUUCAACAGUAGUUCGCGCAAAGGAUCUUAAGGCUGGGAAUGGUGAGCCAGAAGAAGUGGCUAUAAAAAUCAUACGAAAUAAUGACACAAUGUAUAAAGCUGGUUUGGAAGAGUUGGUCAUAUUAAAGAAAUUAGUAGGUGCAGAUCCAGAUGACAAGCGUCAUUGUGUUCGUUUUCUCUCUAGUUUCAAAUACAGGAAUCAUCUUUGUUUAGUUUUUGAAUCUCUUCAUAUGAAUCUCCGUGAGGUUCUAAAGAAGUUCGGUCGUAAUAUUGGCCUUAAAUUAACUGCUGUAAGGGCAUAUGCUAAACAGCUUUUCAUUGCUCUCAAGCAUCUUAGGAACUGUGGCGUUCUGCAUUGUGACAUAAAGCCAGAUAAUAUGCUGGUAAAUGAGGCCAAAAAUGUCCUGAAACUCUGUGAUUUUGGUAAUGCAAUGUUUUCUGGUAAAAAUGAAAUUACACCAUAUCUUGUGAGCCGCUUUUAUCGUGCCCCUGAGAUAAUUCUAGGCUUGUCUUAUGACCAUCCCAUGGAUAUUUGGUCAGUUGGUUGUUGUUUGUAUGAGCUUUAUACGGGAAAAGUUCUUUUUCCGGGUCCUUCAAACAAUGACAUGCUUCGGCUUCACAUGGAGUUGAAGGGUCCUUUUCCAAAAAAGAUGCUUCGAAAGGGAGCAUUUACUGAUCAGCACUUUGAUCAGGACCUUAAUUUCCAUGCCACUGAGGAGGAUCCUGUCACAAAGAAGACAAUAAAAAGGCUGAUUAUGAACAUAAGGCCAAAAGAUAUUGGUGCAAUAAUUUCAAGCUCUCCUGGUGAGGACCCAAAGAUGGCAGUGAAUUUCAAAGAUCUUUUAGAAAAAAUAUUUGUGUUGGAUCCGGAGAAGAGGAUGACAGUCUCACAAGCAUUGUGUCAUCCAUUCAUCACGGGCAAGUGAACAAUGACGCUGAUUUUCUGACUCCAGAAUAGAUGUUGCGCUUGAUAUUUGUACAUUAUGACCUAAAUUUAUAUUCAGAUCUCUAAUCAUUGGGCAUUUAUCUGUCUUUAUCUUCUCUGUGCUGGGUUAAGAGCUUUCAACACAGUUUUUGGCAUUGGUUGAAGUCAAAUGGAAGAUGUUUGGUCCGGAGACCUCCUUACUUGGCGGUUCUUUCACUGGAAUGUGUUCUGUUUCUAUUGAUAUCUACCAGUGCUAUGAGGCAAUCCUUCCAUGCUUAGAUGCUUAAAAGGCACCCAGGAGAAGGCAUUCGCUCUGGGGAUGUACACUGCAGUGGUCAUGAAGUGAAAAUAAAUCUCAGGUACAUCCUCUCAUAAUUCUUCAAAACCUGUAAGUAUUCUCAAAUUCUAUUUAUUUGUCUUAACCUAUUCUGUUUUUGGAUAUUAUUCAUGGUUUCUAGCAAGAAUGAAAAUAUCUGUUUUUACGGA